GAUGAACGCUGGCGGCGUGCCUAAUACAUGCAAGUCGAGCGAACAGACGAGGAGCUUGCUCCUCUGACGUUAGCGGCGGACGGGUGAGUAACACGUGGAUAACCUACCUAUAAGACUGGGAUAACUUCGGGAAACCGGAGCUAAUACCGGAUAAUAUAUUGAACCGCAUGGUUCAAUAGUGAACGACGGUUUUGCUGUCACUUAUAGAUGGAUCCGCGCCGCAUUAGCUAGUUGGUAAGGUAACGGCUUACCAAGGCGACGAUGCGUAGCCGACCUGAGAGGGUGAUCGGCCACACUGGAACUGAGACACGGUCCAGACUCCUACGGGAGGCAGCAGUAGGGAAUCUUCCGCAAUGGGCGAAAGCCUGACGGAGCAACGCCGCGUGAGUGAUGAAGGUCUUCGGAUCGUAAAACUCUGUUAUUAGGGAAGAACAAAUGUGUAAGUAACUAUGCACGUCUUGACGGUACCUAAUCAGAAAGCCACGGCUAACUACGUG
rnacentral:rRNA from 1 species